rnacentral:rRNA from 1 species
UACGGGGGGUGCGAGCGUUGUCCGGAAUCACUGGGCGUAAAGGGCGCGUAGGUGGUUUGAUAAGGGUGUGGUGAAAGCCCGGAGCUCAACUCCGGGUCUGCCGUGCCGACUGUCAAACUCGAGGGCUGUAGAGGCAGACGGAAUUCCGGGUGUAGCGGUGGAGUGCGUAGAGAUCCGGAGGAAGACCGGUGGCGGAAGGCGGUCUGCUGGGCAGUUUCGUCGACACUGAUGCGCGGACAG